rnacentral:rRNA from 1 species
AUUGAACGCUGGCGGCAGGCCUAACACAUGCAAGUCGAGCGAGCGGCGGACGGGUGAGUAAUGUCUGGGAAACUGCCCGAUGGCGGGGGAUAACUACUGGAAUCGGUAGCUAAUACCGCAUACCAUCAGAUGUGCCCAGGUGGGAUUAUCGAGUAGGUGGGGUAACGGCUCACCUAGGCGACGAUCCCUAGCUGGUCUGUGAGGAUGACCAGCCACACUGGAACUGAUACACGGUCCGGACUACUAGGGGAGGCAGCAGUGGGGAAUAUUGCACAAUGGGCGCAAGCCUGAGACAGCCAUGCCGCGUGUGUGAAGAAGGCCUUCGGGUUGUAAAGCACUGUCAGCGGGGAGGCGUUACCCGCAGAAGAAGCACCGGCUAACUCCGUGCCCGCAGCCGCGGUAAUUC